GUUCCCGUUCUUGUCUCCGUUUCUCAAGUUUUAUUUAUUGCUCUCUUGUUUUCUUACCGAGGAUUAUUGGUCACUUUUGUCGACGCAGCCAUGCGUUGCUAUGAUCCGCCCUUCUUUGCGUGACUUACCGACUUUGAGUAUCCAUCCAUGAAUCAAAUCAAACAACUAGACUGUUAGAUCCAAUCAGAAUAGUCAUUAUUUUAUUUAUACCGUGGCGUCAAUUUAUUUUAUCUGUUUGUAGUAAGGAUUACCCAAAGCAACCUCCUGAAUCCCUUUUUUCAAGUUUUUUCUUCGUAACAAAAGGAUUGGAUCUUUAGGUUCUCUUGUUCAUAGGGUUGUAAUAACACUGGAAGAGGGUGUCCUGGAUGGGUUAGGAAACCACAUGAAUUGAUGUGAACAAAAAGGAGACCACAUGAACUAAUGCGGAAAAAAAAAGGAAACCACGUGAGUUUUUGUUAACGAGCAGACAAUUUGUGCCAAGAGGUUUGACGUAAGUGUUGUUCAAAACAGUGCGAACCAAUCCUUGGUGUUUGUUUGGGUAAACGGAAUUAACGCCUAGGUUUACCAAAAACAUGUUUUAGUAGGAUUUUAAAAAGGAACUAGUUUUACUAAUAGUUUUGGUUAGGAACAAGUAUGCACAAAAACCUUGUGUUGAUGAUUAAACAUGUUUGAGCACGACAGACAGGACCGCGUAAGAGAUGAUCCCGUCGUACUCCCUAGGUGCGCUCCAUCAUUUGGUCGCACACGAGAUAGACAAACGAUGAAGAUUGGACAAGUUUUCACCCAAUCCUGACGGGGUUGGGCACAACCGAACGAGGCAUAUGGAAUUUUUUCCUAAAGGAAUAACUUCCAUUUGUACUACAUUACAUAGGGAAUCUAGCACACACUGCAACCUCUUAAAAAAACCUUUAUUCUUCAUAUGACUCAAAUCCUACAUGACAUUUUACAGUUUUGCUAAAGCACAUCUAGAUGUGCUCUAAGUAUUGAAGUCCUAUGUCAUUGAUUUUACGCUAAGAUUCAUGCAAGCAUUUUUUUUUGUCUUUUUUCUUUUUGUUUCUAGUUUGAUUGAGCCACUUAGAUGUGCAAUAACUAGGCACAUCUAGAUAUGCUCUAAGACUAGCCACAAUGGAGAGUAACAUACACUGGUAACAUAGACAUAUCCCUAGAAUAUGUUACUAUCUUCAUAGUGGGUAGUAACAUAAGUGUGGUAUCAUGGAAAGCUUCAUCUAUUGGGUACUUAUAUUGCAUUGGGACAUGUGAUGUUACAGUAACUAGCUAAGUUACUCAAACUACAUCUCUCCUCAUUAACUCAUUGCCACAUAAGCAAAUUUGCUGAGUUGGACUCGAUAUCAUUGUUGAAGUUACUCCCACUGUGGCUAGUCUAAGUAUUGCACAUCUAAGUCCUAUGUCAUUGAUUUUACGCUAAGAUUCAUGCAAGUAUUUUCUUUUGUCUUUUUUUUUCUUUCUAGUUUGAUUGAGUCACUUAGAUGUGUAAUAACUAGGGCACAGACAAACCUGACAUUUAAUGUGUUUUUUUAGUUCCUACUUUUUUUUACAAUCCUAAUAUGAAUCAACCAAGCACUUAAAAUUUUUCUAAGGAUUUGAAUCCCAACAAUUCCUCCAUAAAUAUUCCAAUGUACCCGAAUCCUUAAAGGUCCUACGCAAAAUAUGCGAAUAAAAAGAAGUCAUGCCCAUGUAUUCAUCUGUGUACUUUCACCUUGGGCAGCCACUGAAACUCCAGCGACACAUACAUUUCGGCCCAUUACAACCCGUUCCAUUAGAUCACACGCCCCCCCUCAAUCGGACGGGCAGGGAUGGCCAGGGAUUAGGUUAAUUCCCGUAUAAAUUGCCCACCCCACAUUAUCCCAUCUUCUCCUCUCCACCCCUCUCCGUCGACAGCCGCCACCGCGCUCCACUUGCGCUGCGUUCUUCUCGCGUGUGAAGUCCAGGACCAGGACAAAGGAAUGGCUUCAAACAACACAAGGGGCAACAGAGAAAGGGCUACGUCCAGGUGUACUGAUGCUGAUCUAUAUGGAGGCGUCAAUGUACUUGCUGGAGACGGUUUUGAGAGCCAGGUUUACUCAAAAGAGAUACACGCUGAUGCUGUAAAGCUCAGUGUAAGAAGGGUCCGAACAAGCUUUGCCCACACAAAGAUGCCAUGUCCAGGGCUGAUGUCAUUAAGAAUGGGAGCUAUGGUGGCAUGAAAAUUGUCCACCCGUCACCAGCUGUCACUGAGGAUGUAGCGCAGAAGUAGAUCAGGAAGACCUCGGGGCCACUAUGCACAAUAUUUUUAUCAGGUGUUGUUUCCAAUGACAUCUGAAGUUAUUUGCUCCGGGGUUUCGUCAUCACGCUUGUUUGCACGGUUCCGAGUACUCCAGUUUUUGUACUGAAUGUAUGGUCUUCUAUGACCUGACUAUCUGAAAGUGAAGUUUUUGUAAUAGUACUAUAAUGAUUCGUAUGGUCAUCUAUGACCUGACUAUUGCUAUAUAUGUGCUAUAUAUAUGACUACUGCUGAAAGCAAUAAUGUCUUUUACCAUGGUGUUGUGCUGUUCA